UACGUAGGGGGCAAGCGUUGUCCGGAUUUAUUGGGCGUAAAGAGCGUGUAGGCGGCUAGGUAGGUCCGUUGUGAAAACUCGAGGCUCAACCUCGAGACGUCGAUGGAAACCAUCUAGCUAGAGUCCGGAAGAGGAGAGUGGAAUUCCUGGUGUAGCGGUGAAAUGCGCAGAUAUCAGGAGGAACACCGGUGGCGAAGGCGGCUAUCUGGCACACAACUGACGCUGAGGCGCGAAAGCGUGGGGAUCAAACAGG
rnacentral:rRNA from 1 species